GGCAAAAUAGGGUUUAAGUGGGAAAAGAAGUGGGGCAAGCCCACUCCCUUUUUCUUCUGCCACGUUUGAACUGACCAAGGGAGUAUAACUUUGGGCUCUUUCUUGGUUUCGGUACAGAGAAAUAACAAGAAAACAAAAAAAUAAAAAGAAAACGGAGUACAGGGUCUGGUUCGGUUUAACAGAUGCAAGGAGCAGUCCGUAAAGGGCAAAAAGAUCCUUCUAAUUCAAGCACCAUAUUCAGGUGUGGUUAACGGUGACCAAGUAGCCGAUACUUGAUUCAUUCCAGCUUCGUUCAGUCCAGUUCAGUCGAGGUGAGCCACCAUUAGAUCAUGGCGACCUCUUCUUCUUUAGUUGACUUAGUAGUAUUCCAAGCUACGUCUCGUACUUUUAUAUUCAGACUAGUAGUUCCUUGACUUAAACAUUUUAUGGGGUUUAUGGGCAAGACUCAGUAUUUGUAUUUCGCUUCCGCACUUCUCUUUAUAUUAUGAGAAUUUGCGUAUUAUUCAUUU